UACGAAGGGGGCUAGCGUUGCUCGGAAUCACUGGGCGUAAAGCGCACGUAGGCGGCUUCUUAAGUCAGGGGUGAAAUCCUGGAGCUCAACUCCAGAACUGCCUUUGAUACUGAGGAGCUUGAGUCCGGGAGAGGUGAGUGGAACUGCGAGUGUAGAGGUGAAAUUCGUAGAUAUUCGCAAGAACACCAGUGGCGAAGGCGGACUCGCUGGACUGGAUACUGACGCUGAGGUGCGAAAGCGUGGGGAGCAAACAGG
rnacentral:rRNA from 1 species